rnacentral:misc_RNA from 1 species
UCACACCUUGCGGUGGCAGUCCCACUAGAGUCCCCAGCUUAACCUGAUGGCAACUAAUGGCAAGGGUUGCGCUCGUUAUGGCACUUAAGCCGACACUUCACAGCACGAGCUGACGACAACCAUGCAGCACCUCGACAGGAGUCCGAAGACUUAUCCAUCUCUGGAUAAUUCCCCUGCCGUUCGAGCCCGGGUAAGGUUCCUCGCGUAUCAUCGAAUUAAACCACAUGUUCCUCCGCUUGUGCGGGCCCCCGUCAAUUCCUUUGAGUUUCAACCUUGCGGUCGUACUCCCCAGGUGGAUGACUUAUCGCUUUCGCUUGGCCACCGACUGUGUAUCGCCGACGGUUAGUCAUCAUCGUUUACAGCGUGGACUAC